rnacentral:lncRNA from 1 species
UCGGUGGGGCGAGCCACGCGGCCUCCAGAGGGCGCGGCGCGGCUUCUGGGAAACGUCUUAGGGCCGGAGCUUUCCCGUGGCCAUCCAGGGCUACACACCCCGCGUGUAGGCGUCCCCGUUACUACCGCCAGGCCCGGGCGUGAGGCUGAGGGACGGUGAUGUCACCGACGCCCACCCCGUCUGGAGGCCUCCUGCCAACUCCCACCUCAAAGCCACCGUGAAGGAGCCUUGGCCCUGGCUGGCGGAGGGGCGGAGU